rnacentral:tRNA from 1 species
GGUCGCAUAGCUCAGUUGGUAGAGCAUUCGGUUUACAUCCGAAGGGUCCAAGGUUCGAGUCCUUGUGCGACCA